ACAAAUCAACAAAUGAUGAACAAAUUAACAACUAUAUAUGACCAUACAGCCUUUAACAAUGAGCCAAGCCCAUACUGCAUAGUCAGCUAUAAGAGGCCCUGAACCGACAAAUUUAAAACAAAUAAAAUGAGAAGACUAAUGGCCUUAUUUAUGUACAAAAUUGAAGGAAAAACAAAUAUGUAACACAUUAAAACAAAAGACAACCACUGAAUUACAGGCUUCUGACUUUGGAGACACAUACAUACAGAAUGCAGCUGGGUUAAAACAUGUUAGCUGGAUCCCAACACUCUCCCUAACCUGAGACAGUAGUGUAACAAUACAACAUAAGAAUGAACUAUACAAAUCAGUAGAAAAAAGCUUAGCUCAUCAGAUGGAUACAAAUAGAAAUACAUCCAACAAAAACACAGAGAGGAUGUUGGAGUUUAAUUGUACAUCCCAACAACUAAAAAGACACUAAAUACUGAUCCGAAAGUACAAGCAGUUACUGACAGCUAGUUACAAGCCACUGACAAUGAAUAAAAAAAAAUCGUGCAUCUAAGACGCAAUUAUCAAUCAAUACACAUCAUAAACAGUCACACAGUCAGAGAAACACAUGACCUUUAUAGUUUGUUAAAAAAAAAAAAAAAAGGUACCUUCAAUUUUUGUGGGCACAGAAUAAAUCGUGGUAUUGGCAAAAUUUAGCUGACAAAGACAUAUGUUUCAUUCUUUUCAUUAUGAUGUUGACAUAAAGACUUGAUUAUACUUGGUUAUUGUGUAUAAAGAUACCCAAAGCAAGCACCAUAUGUUGAAGAGGUGAUCUUGUAGCUCACUUAAACAGAUCAGAAAUAUAUCUUCUGUUGAAGUUAGCUCUCAAUUUCUUUUUUGUAUUGCAUUUUUGGAGUUGGUAAUGUCUUGAUUCCUUC
rnacentral:lncRNA from 1 species